rnacentral:lncRNA from 1 species
UCUGUCAUCUGGCGAAUUCAGCGCGUUUCGGCCGAUGCGGAGGCGAUUUCGAUGAAUCCCUGCUGCACUACAGUAUGUGCAGGAGGCCUAACGUUACAACUUAACAGUGGGUUGCAUGUUUAGGGGCCUCAAACAGGGAGGAGACCAUGAACCUCAACGAGAAGAAGCCCAACAAGUGGUGGACUGAACCGGACACGUUUGCCAUGCUGGCCCUCAUAGAGCAGAUGGGUCUGGUCCACGAGCUGGAUAAGAAGCGUCAGCGCAACGAAUCCCUUUUCCGACGCCUCAGGCUGAGUCUGGCAAAGCGGGGAAUCCACUUCACCGUCACCCAGAUCCGAAACCGCUGGAAGAGCCUCAAACACAAGUACCGUAAGAUCAAACUGGCCAGCUACCGAAGUCCAGCCGCUCGCCUCUCUGCCGUCGAGUCUUUCCGCUACUUCCAUAUGCUGGAUCACAUGUUGGUGCGCAGACCGAAGGCGGGAGGCAGGGAGGACGACCUCGCAGAUGCUCACGCCCUGCUAGGACGGUCACUCGUGGACCUGGAGGACCCUGCAGACAGUCCUUGGCUUGAAGGCCUACUCCCUAAAUCUGAGCCUGAGAGCAUGUCUUCUAAACUUGAACCUGAUGUUGACGACAGUCUGAAUCCAGAUGAAGUUAUGACCCUGGGCUUGUCAGGAGAAUACCUCUAUGCAGUGAAGACCGAGCCACCGUCCCUAUGCACUCCCAACAGCACAGAAAGUACAAGAGACGCCAUUGACUGCAGCCACAGUGAUUUCCCAGGAACGUCUGAAGAGACCAGCAGCCUCAUCCUCCAGCAGCUCACCAUCCUGAACCACCGGCUUGGAGAACAGCUGGCCGAGCAGAGAGCCUUCCACUGCAGCAUGCUGGGAAUGAUGGAUCGCCAGAUCCAGGUCUUGGAGCAGCUCUCCAAUUUCACCAGGAACCACCAAUCCAAGUUUGAGACCCCAGACGUGGACUCUUCAGCCAGUCCAAGUGUGCACGAAGCUCAAACGCAGACUUUUGAUCAACAUCCCAUGUUCCUCAUGCCCAAAAGCGAACCAGCAGCUGCUCCUUGGAAGGUCUCUCUCUUGGAAGUCCACAAGAGGUCACCCUCUGAGUCGGGCAGUGACACUGAGACUCCUCAAGCCCUGGAAGGGUGCGAAGCAAACACCUCUAGCCCACCUUCUUUGGGGAUUUCGCCCUCAACCAAGAACGCUGUUGUACAGAAUGGAUUGUGUAAGCACGAUUGA